UCCUUCCUUGUCUAGGGGAGCUGAGUGUUCAAUGAUCAUUUGGUGAGAUCACUUUUGCUGACACCCUAACUGAAAAGUGCGCACCCGCGGUAAAGGUUUACUUAGCGAGUGCAAUUUUUGUAAGC